ACGGGAGGCAGCAGUGGGGGAUAUUGCACAAUGGGGGAAACCCUGAUGCAGCGACGCCGCGUGAGUGAUGAAGUAUUUCGGUAUGUAAAGCUCUAUCAGCAGGGAAGAAAAUGACGGUACCUGACUAAGAAGCUCCGGCUAAAUACGUGCCAGCAGCCGCGGUAAUACGUAUGGAGCAAGCGUUAUCCGGAUUUACUGGGUGUAAAGGGAGCGUAGGCGGCAUGGCAAGCCAGAUGUGAAAGCCCGGGGCCCAACCCCGGAACUGCAUUUGAAACUGUUAGGCUAGAGUGCCGGAGAGGUAAGCGGAAUUCCUAGUGUAGCGGUGAAAUGCGUAGAUAUUAGGAGGAACACCAGUGGCGAAGGCGGCUUACUGGACUGUAACUGACGUUGAGGCUCGAAAGCGUGGGGAGCAAACAGGAUUAGAUACCCUGGUA
rnacentral:rRNA from 1 species